UAUAUAUAUAUAUAUAUAUAUAUAUAUAUAUAUAUAUAUAUUAGAGCUGUCAGGUUAGCGCGUUUUUAUUGGCAUUGAUUUAAAUGAAUUUUAACGGGAUUAAAUUUUUUCUUGCGAGAUUAACGCGGCACAGGUCACAGCGGAUGUUACGUUGCUCUAUAAAUAAACCAGAAACAAAACAAGAGAGCUGCAUAUGUCCGCGCACGUUUGUUUUGCCAGCCACAGCAGCGCGAGACACCGAAAACGGAUACUUAAAGAGUUUAUGAAUGGAAAGUUUAUUUUUAAAAAGUUGCCAGAUUGCUCCACUAACAAGACCAAAGUUACCUGUAUCAUACAGGUAAACGAUGUAUGCCACUGACUCGAUUGUUAAUUGUUUGGAAUUAUUUUGUGUGGAAGGUUACAGUGUUCCGUGUCGAUAUAAAUAGAGCGGGUGAGCUUCUCUGAGUUCUGUAGUCAUCCGAAAUGAUGUCUACACAAAACCGUAGAGAGACUACUGCGCAAGAAGGACCAACACAAUCAACAUAGUAUGCAGCAAGUGAAGUAUGCAACCAUGGCUUAAAUCCACUGUUGGCUGAGUACUAGUUUACCUUAGAUGUGCACUUUAUAAUGUUAUAUUGCUCUGUUUUGAUUCCAUAAAAAGAGCUGUUAAAGCA